UUUAAAUUUUUAAUACAUACCUUAUCCUGAAACCAAGUUGAUAUAAACUUAAAAAAAAUUAAUUAAUACUUACCUUAUAAAAUUGUUUAGUUUAUAAGCCAUUUAAUAAAUGUAUUCAAUUAGUUGAAAACCAGAAUUUUUAUGGUUAAACAGUUAACCGUUGAAAUUUUUAUCCUUUUUGAGAAGCUCAAUAUGGUGUUUAAUUAAAAGUUGGGUCAGAAGCAGAGUAAAGCUGGAUGAUUAGGGGAUUUUAGGGACAAGUUGGUUCGGGAUUAGGGGCUACCACACAAUACUGGAGGUCGUGGUAGCCAUGGUGGUAUCUAAAGGAUACAUGGGUGGGAAAAUCCUCCGAGGGCCAACAACAUCUGGACCCUCGGCCCUACUGGAGUCACCGCUCCCCCUAAAACUUUUAGCAUAAUUUUUAUUUUCAGCAUAUGGACAGCAUAUGGAGGACAUGAGGACAGUUCGUAACAACAGUCCAAUACUUCGGCUCCAAGAACUCACCCCCAUCCAACGAGCAACGGCCGGUUGCCAGCAUGCCGAACGGGGGCCGGAGUACUGGACACCCCACCCCUCUGCCUCUUGCUGCCCGGACCAGCCUCAUGUACCUGUACAUAUGAGGUUGUAAGGGUGGUCUACGAGGAGUGCAGAGGGGCGAGAGUCUAUUUCGUUACACAGACAGGAGAUCAUCAUGGCUGCUAGGCGAUAGUGGGAAAAUAAAAUGGAGGAAGCGCUCACGAUAGCUUCGUUUGGGGCCAAAGUGAAGAGAGAGCGAUAUUGGAAAGAAAUUAUUUAUCAGACAGGAGAUCAUCAUGACUGCUAGGCGAUAGUGGGUAUCCCAUAGGGCCUUUCCUAAUCACCCCUUAUAGAAACGCGGAUGAAAAUUCUCGUGAACUGAACUUCAAUUUUAUUCAUUCACAGGCCAGAAGAAUCGUCAGUUGUUUAAAAAGUCGAUGGCGUAUAAUAAUGGAAGAAAGGAAGUUAAGAUACAAGCCGAAAAGAGUUGUAGAACUAAUAAACGUCUGCGCUGCCUUGCACAACAUUUGCUCAAUCCGUAAUGUGCUACAUCCAGAACCCGAAACUAAUAACUCUCAACACCAUGGCCUUCAAGUACCUCCACCUGGAAAUAACUCUUCGAUUACUGAACCUAAAAGAAUCUGUGACAGUAUUCGAGAUGAUUUUUAUACCAACUAUUUAUUUAAAAGCAAUUCCGCUAAACUUUGUUAA